rnacentral:rRNA from 1 species
GAGGUGCUUGCACCUUUCAUGCGAGUGGCGAACGGGUGAGUAACACGUUGGAUAACCUGCCUCAAGGCUGGGGAUAACAUUUGGAAACAGAUGCUAAUACCGAAUAAAACUUAGUAUCGCAUGAUAUCAAGUUAAAAGGCGCUACGGCGUCACCUAGAGAUGGAUCCGCGGUGCAUUAGUUAGUUGGUGGGGUAAAGGCUUACCAAGACGAUGAUGCAUAGCCGAGUUGAGAGACUGAUCGGCCACAUUGGGACUGAGACACGGCCCAAACUCCUACGGGAGGCUGCAGUAGGGAAUCUUCCACAAUGGGCGCAAGCCUGAUGGAGCAACGCCGCGUGUGUGAUGAAGGCUUUCGGGUCGUAAAGCACUGUUGUAUGGGAAGAAAUGCUAAAAUAGGGAAUGAUUUUAGUUUGACGGUACCAUACCAGAAAGGGACGGCUAAAUACGUGCCAGCAGCCGCGGUAAUACGUAUGUCCCGAGCGUUAUCCGGAUUUAUUGGGCGUAAAGCGAGCGCAGACGGUUGAUUAAGUCUGAUGUGAAAGCCCGGAGCUCAACUCCGGAAUGGCAUUGGAAACUGGUUAACUUGAGUGUUGUAGAGGUAAGUGGAACUCCAUGG